GCCAUAUUUAAACUCAGGAAGAUACAUCUUUCUGACUCCAGGCCUGACUCCAGGCCUCUCAUGGAAGAGGAGAGAUGUGAAAGAUAGAUAAGUUUUGGAGGGGGGUGGUUUAAAGGGAGAUAGGGUGUUCCAAUAGAAAGAACAUUGCCUCUGGAGUCAGAGGGCCUGGGUUCAAAUAGGUCCUUUGAUCAUUACUACCUGUUCAGUGAUGGACAACAUCACUACCUCUCUGGGUCUCAGUUUUUCUCCAUUGUAAAAUGAGGAGGUUGGACUCUGGAAAGUGAGAGGAUUGAAUACUCCCUGAGAGCUUUUCCAGCUCUAGACUUUUGAUGUUAAGGGAAAGGGCAUUGAGAGCAGAUAGGCAAAUGGUUGGAGUUGGGUCUAAACAGGGUAUGUUUGGGAGAGAAUGAGAUAAUUAGCUUGCUUGGAAUAGAAGAUUAGGGUUGGAGAGUUGGAAGAUUAUGGAGGACCUUCAAAAGCAAGACAAGGAAGAGUUCUUUUUCCCAGGUAAUAACCAUUAGCUCCUACUUCAAAUUAAACCCUUGUCCUUAGUUUAUCAUUCUGUUUUGUCCUUUUUCAUUUAUCUCUCUGCCUUGAUGGCUUUACAUGCAGAGACAACUAAAUAUUUACAGAACUGAUUGGAAAUUCAUUAUCUCCUCCCUCACAGGAUAGGAACUUCCCCUUAGAAACCAAUGACAUAUGGAGGUCCCAGCUCUUCAUCCAGCUGCAAUUCCAAAUUUCUUCAGAAAUGCAAUCUAGAGCAAUUCUCAUUGGCCCACACUAUAUUACUUAAGAUGGGUAUUAAUUGAUAUUUCUUUCUCACUUUCAUGUUUUAUGUAUCGUCAAUGGAAACCUGCCUUGUGGAGCAGCCUGUGGAAAGUAUAUUUACAGAGCUUGGGUUCUGCAUCGAAAUGAAUCUACUCAUCACAAAACUACAAAUAUGUCUUAAAAAGUGCACUAAUAUGCAUAAUUAGCCCAUGAAAAGGCCUGUGCUAUUAUUUGAGUUCCUACAUAAUGUUAGUCAAGUCUUAAUUUAUGCUCUGUCCUUCCUGGAAUGAUUGAGCUGUUUGGUAGUUUUAUUUAUGAUACAGGCUUAGAUCCAUUUUGCAAUGGUGAUAUGGUUGUGAUAAUGGGAAUUUAUAGCAGACUCUGACAAGAGGCCAUAAAACAAAUGCCUGGAUGUUUUUCUGUGGCUACAGGCUUAAUUUGUAACAUAAAGUACUUAAUAAUUGUUAUUAAUGAACCCACUGUGGUUGGUAUAUAGACACAGCUGGAAAUCACAUCUGUUAUCACACAGCCCGGGUUGACUAAAGCACAAACACAGCAGGGGACUGAUAGCUAUGAAAGGAUAUGACAUCACAGAGCCACAGGAAGUGCUCUCAAAAGCCUGAUGCUCUCCCUAGAGUAGCAUACUAUGCAGGAGAUUUGGAGACACAUUUAAAAGAGAGCUGUCUUGGGGAAUUUGGUUAUUUUUUUCUAGUUCUUCCCUUCACUCAGAAGUGGAGGAAAGAUGUAGGUGCCAACUUCCGUAAUAUAGAUUCAAACUCAACAUCUCUUCAUUUCUUAUGACCCAAAGUCUUGGCAAAAAUGGUAAUAAAAAGAGUAAUAAAAGCAGCAAAUCCAAUUUCACAACUACAAGGCGUAAUACUUUUCCUAGGCAGACGUACAAAUUCUUGCUUCCCUACUGCUAAAAUCUUUAGAAUCAUGAGAUUGCUGGAUAAUCGCUACAGAAGAUAUAUUAGAAUAUAACCCUCUUGAAACACCCUGUGAAGUUACAAGGCACCUAAUUACUUACUUCUAAUUUUUUUUUUAGUGAAGAGGGAAAAAAAAAAAACUCUUUAAGGCACAGAAAAAAAACCCUGGAAUUUUGUUCCUGGGAGCCUAGUGGGAAUGGAGGGAGAAAAGAUGCAGGGAUUUAAAAAAAACAAAGAAAAGAAAAAGAGAUAUACUGAAGUUCUCUAAAUAGAAUCCUGAGCUAAGAAGCCCGUCUUUGUUUCCCAUAUCUCCAGCUCCCUCCCUUCUGAGGAUGAACAGGAUGCCUCCCAGAUGUUUAAUUCACAUCUGAUGCAGGUAAAAAGUGCCAGAUGGAAUCCUGGUCUCUUUUGUACUCUCUCUUCAGAGCAAAGCUGCCCAUUGAGACCCUAGUUGUGGAACAAAAUGGUAGAUGAAAAUCAGAAGUUUAAACCCCGUCCCCGCUUGCCUCCCCCAUGUCCUUGAUUCAUUAUAAAUUGCUCUCCUAGCUCCCAAUGCCAGCUUCAUUCUUUAGCCUUGGAAGGGACACACUGCCCCAUAGAUCUAGGACAAACAGAGCUCAGAGGACACUGAUUUGGGGAAAAUAAAAAUGGGGUGUCACAAGGAGCAAUCCCAGGGUAGGCUUCAGUUCCCUAACCCUCUAAGAGGGAGACCGUUAAUUUGGCUCACAUUGGAAUCUAGUAUCAGUGAAUUUCCACUUUGACUGAGAGACAGAAAAAAAAUUGUUUCUGGCCCCUACUUGGAUGGCAUUUAAACUCACAACAGUUAAGAGCACAGUUACCAUCUGAGGGCAGAGUUCAUUUGUGAAAAAGCAAACAGACACAUAGAACAAACCAGAAACCCUAAAAUGAUUUUCCUGUGUAUGGGAUCAUUUGCCAACAGGUAGCAGACUUUCAAAAGCUGUUUUUCCUCCACCCCUGCCAAUUCUAAAUAUUUAUCACUUGAUUUUUGAGUCAAUAUAUGUCUCCUGAAGUACUCCACAUUUAAAACCUCCUGCCCAUCAGCCAUACUUCAACAUGCGUUGAUAUAUUAUUGCCUACUAUAUCCAAAUCACUGUAUCAGGUGCUGGAGGUGACAAAAAGAUUACAUAAGAUAUGACCUCAGAUUCAUGAAGCUUAUAAUUUAGGUGCUGGGGAAGGGAGAGGCAUGUCAUGUACGCAUAAAAAUAAAUAUAGUUAAAAUAUGCGUGAUAAGUGCAUACGAGGGAUGUGAUAAUUCUCAUUAUAUAAUGCUUUAAGUUUUGCAAAAUACUUGACUGACAAGAACUCUAAAAAGCAAUUGCUACAGGAAAUCUGAGGUCAUUGACUGGAGGGAUCCAGAAAGACUUCAUGGAGAAAAUAACCUUUCAGUUGGACCCUGAAUGAUGGAUUGCAUUUCAGAAGGUGGAAACAGGAAUGGUGGUGGUGGUAAGGGCUUUCCAGACACAGAGAACACCAUGAGCAAAAGCUUGGAGCAUCAGAAAAUACCCUUCAUUUUUCUGCAAAUGACAUAAUUCACCAGCUUGUUCCUUUGCCUGAAUCAACGAGUUUGGGAGACAUGACCAAUUGACAGUCUGGUUGUUAGACAUUUACCGGCACACCCCUGUAUGGCUCUAUAAACAUUGUUUGAGCUCUGGAGGAGUCCAUUGGAAAGCUCAGGGAAUGAAGUCAUCACCAGACUGGAGUCUGCUGUAUGUGAGGUGGGCAUGUGCACGUGAAUGUCCACAAGCUCAUUUUGGUAGUCAUUGCACUAUAGAAUGGGAAUUCCCUCUCAUCUGAGGAUGGUCAGGUGCUCUGUUGUCUCCUGGAGUCUGGUCAUGGGUAUGGACUGAAAGGUCUCUGGGCUCUUGUGCCAACCUCUAGCUCCCAGAUUUCAGCCCUCCUUGAAGACAUGAGGUUCAGAAUGAUGGUUGUUCUCAGUUUCUGGGGCUUUCCAAAUAUCCAGAAGCCUUCUUGAGAGCACUUUCUUCUACUCCUACCUCUAGGGCCAGAGCACUGACAGCUCUACAUGUACCUAAUGGCCUCUGGUCAUGAUGGAAGGCUACCCUGUGCCACCACUAGCUUUGCUGGUGGGGCCCUUGCCUGACUUUUUAUGCUGUUUUGAGGUGGAAGAAGUCACUUGUUAUAAUUUCUCUUUGGAUUUCUUGAUCAGCAUUUGGUACUGGUACAAACUUUGGGGUUUUUCUGGAGUAUGUAUGAACAGGUAUUUAAGAUCUGGGUGGCCUGGCUUCUGUUCUGGUGGCUGUCUUGGCAGGGAGAUCCCACAAGCAUGCUGUCUUAGAGAUCAUGAUGGAGGAGAAUGCUUGGCACAGAGCGAUGUGCCUGCUUGAUUUGUAGAAUUCAGACACUGCGUGUCACAGUCCUGCAGACUGGGAUUUGAAUCCCAUCUCGAUCACCGCCUGUGUGACAUGGUCAAGUCAUGUGGCACCCUUCCCCUUCAUUUUCCACAUUUGUAAAAUGAGGGGAGUGAACUAGAUGAUUUUUGAGAUCCCAUUCAACUUUAGAUAUAUGAUCUUAUGAAAGUAUUUCAUGGCCUAAGAUUAUACAGGGGAAGUCAGAUCAAGAAAACUUGGAGGUAUAGGAGCAAGUAUGGUGGAUUUGAAGCCAAAUACACCAUUGGUUCAAAUAUUGGUUCAAAUCCUGACUUGGUUCAUGUCUUGGCUCUGCUCCUUAUUACCUGUGUGACCUCAGAUAAGUCAUUUAACUUUUCUGAGAAUGUUUUGUUCAUUUACAAAUCAGAGAGAUUGACCAGGUGGUAUCUAAGUCCCAUCCAACAAUCCCACGACUUUCUGAAAAGGAGAGUACUUUCAAGAAUGAAAUUCUGGUGUCAUAAACAUAAAAUAUUCUGAUGAAGAAGAAGAGGAGCUGAUUCAGGAGACCAAUGUGAAUGUAAAUGGGACCCACUGGGCAAUUCAGAUUUUUAAGAAUUCAAAAGAUGGAAGAAGAACCAGGUAAUAGAAUGAAUACCGAAGAAUGACAUGGGCCUGUAAAAAUGUCAAGAAUGCUAAAAUUCAGAAUAAGUGGAGAUUUAAAGUAGAUCUUGGAAUCAUGGAGUCUCAGAGUUGUAAGAGACUUAGUGAUAAUGCUAAGUUGAACCUUAGUCCAACUCAAGUCUGAAUAAGAGGGAGCCAAGUCCACCUUUGGACCGCUAAAUGAAUACUACAUCUAUGAAGACAGAGAGAGGAAAGAACUACUCAACCUUCAUUUUGCUUCUGUUUUCUCUACCAAGAAAUUUUAUCCUUUAACUGGAAAGCAUAGAACAAAAAGGAGCUGAAACUUAGAAUAGGUGAGAAGAGAACACUUAGCUGCCCUUGAUGAAGUCAAACCAUCAGACCCAAACAAAUUAUAUUUCAUUAUACUAACAUGCAUGUGUGUAUAUGCAUUCAUGUGUAUUUGUGUGUGUGUGUGUGUGUGUGUGUGUGUGUAUUUAUUAUUGCUGAGAUCCUGUCUUUUAAAAAUAAUGAAGGAUGGGAGAGAUAUAGUUCUGGGGAUGAGCAAAUAUGGCCUUGGAUUUUCAAAAUGGGAACAAUGUGAAUUUGUCAAAUAUAGAUUUGUGAGUUUGAUUUUGAUUUCUAGCAAAAUUUUAGAAUGUGUUAUUAAAGGGAUGAUCUGUGAAUACUUAGAAAGGGUGGUGAUGAUCAUUUCAAAUCAGUAUGAAUUAGUGAAGAAAAAAUCAUUUCAUAUUAACUUCAUUUCCAUUUUUGAUAAGGUUAUAAGGGGGACGAAUACUCUAGAUGUAGCAUGCUUGGAUUUCAUUAAAGGGUUUGACAAAGUCUCAUGAUAUCCUUGUGGAUUCAAUUAAAUCCAACACAGUU